rnacentral:rRNA from 1 species
GAUGAACGCUAGCGGGAGGCCUAACACAUGCAAGCCGAGCGGUAUUGUUUCUUCGGAAAUGAGAGAGCGGCGUACGGGUGCGUAACACGUGUGCAACCUGCCUUUAUCUGGGGGAUAGCCUUUCGAAAGGAAGAUUAAUACUCCAUAAUAUAUUGAACGGCAUCGUUUAAUAUUGAAAGCUCCGGCGGAUAGAGAUGGGCACGCGCAAGAUUAGAUAGUUGGUGAGGUAACGGCUCACCAAGGCGAUGAUCUUUAGGGGGCCUGAGAGGGUGAUCCCCCACACUGGUACUGAGACACGGACCAGACUCCUACGGGAGGCAGCAGUGAGGAAUAUUGGUCAAUGGGUGCAAGCCUGAACCAGCCAUCCCGCGUGAAGGACGACUGCCCUAUGGGUUGCAAACUUCUUUUGUAUAGGGAUAAACCUACCCUCGUGAGGGUAGCUGAAGGUACUAUACGAAUAAGCACCGGCUAACUCCGUGCCAGCAGCCGCAGUAAAAC